CCUACGGGUGACAGCAGUGAGGAAUAUUGGUCAAUGGGCGAGAGUCUGAACCAGCCACGUCGCGUGAGUGAUGACUGCCCUAUGGGUUUUAAACUUCUUUUAUAAGGGAGUAAAUUGUGGGACGUGUCGUAUUUUGUCUGUACCUUAAGAUUACGGAUCGGCUAACUCCGUGCCAGCAGCCGCGGUAAUACGGAGGGUCAGAGCGUUAUCCGGAUUUAUUGGGGUUAAAGGGUGCGUAGGCGGCUUUUUAAGUCAGCGGGGAAAGUCCGGGGCUCAACCACAGAACGGCCGUUGAAACUGGGGAGCUUGAGUGUGGUUGAGGGAAGCGGAAUGCGUGGUGUAGCGGUGAAAUGCUUAGAUAUCACGCAGAACACCGAGUGCGAAGGCAGCAUACUGGGCCAUGACUGACGCUGAUGCACGAAAGCGUGGGGAUCAAACAGGAUUAGAUACCCGGGUAGUC
rnacentral:rRNA from 1 species